UACGUAGGGUGCAAGCGUUGUCCGGAUUUAUUGGGCGUAAAGAGCGUGUAGGCGGCUUUACAGGUCCGUUGUGAAAACUCGAGGCUCAACCUCGAGACGCCGGUGGAAACCGUAAAGCUAGAGUCCGGAAGAGGAGAGUGGAAUUCCUGGUGUAGCGGUGAAAUGCGCAGAUAUCAGGAGGAACACCGGUGGCGAAGGCGGUUCUCUGGGCAUUACCUGACGCUGAGGAGCGAAAGCGUGGGGAGCAAACAGG
rnacentral:rRNA from 1 species